rnacentral:rRNA from 1 species
GCAUAUCAAUAAGCGGAGGAAAAGAAACUAACAAGGAUUCCCUUAGUAACGGCGAGUGAAGAGGGAAGAGCUCAAAUUUUAAAUCUAUCAUGUUUGUACAUGAUCGAAUUGUAAUUUGAAGAAGCAUUUUCUCGUACUUUAUGCAAUCAGUAUAAGUUCUCUUGGAACAGGACAUCAUAGAGGGUGAUAAUCCCGUCUGUUACUGGUUGUGAGGUUCGUUAUGAUACGCUUUCAAAGAGUCGAGUUGUUUGGGAUUGCAGCUCCAAAUGGGUGGUAAACAUCACCUAAGGCUAAAUAUUUGCGAGAGACCGAUAGCGAACAAGUACCGUGAGGGAAAGAUGAAAAGAACUUUGAAAAGAGAGUUAAAAAGUAUGUGAAAUUGUUGAAAGGGAAACGAUUGAAGUCAGUCGUGCAGUCAUCAAUUCAGCGGUUAACAUUUUAUGUUUCCGUGUAAUUUGGUGUCUGUUGGUUAGCAUCAAUUUUGAUUGUUAUAAAAAGGUUAAGGGGAUGUGGCUCCUUCGGGAGUGUUAUAACCCUUAGCGUAAUGUGACGAUUAGGAUUGAGGUUUGCAACGAAUACCUUUUAGGGCAGUUUCACCUGGCCUCUCGUGGAAUUAUAGAUAGUUAAGAGCAUGCUCUUACUGUCUAUGAUUCUACGAAAAGGUUAGUGUAAAACUAAUUCGUUAAGGAUGUUGACGUA